rnacentral:rRNA from 1 species
GACGAACGCUGGCGGCAUGCCUAAUACAUGCAAGUCGAACGCUGAAGCACUCUGCUUGCAGAGUGCGGAUGAGUGGCGAACGGGUGAGUAACACGUGGGAAAUCUGCCUAUAAGAGGGGGAUAACAUUCGGAAACGGAUGCUAAUACCGCAUAUAUUCUUGGACCGCCUGGUCCUUGAAAGAAAGACGGCUUUGCUGUCGCUUAUAGAUGAUCCCGCGGCGUAUUAGUUAGUUGGUGGGGUAAAGGCCUACCAAGACAAUGAUACGUAGCCGACCUGAGAGGGUGAUCGGCCACACUGGGACGGAGACACGGCCCAGACUCCUACGGGAGGCAGCAGUAGGGAAUCUUCCACAAUGGGCGAAAGCCUGAUGGAGCAAUGCCGCGUGAAUGAAGAAGGUCUUCGGAUCGUAAAGUUCUGUUAUUAGAGAAGAACAAGUCAAGGAGUAACUGUCUUGACUUUGACGGUACCUAACCAGAAAGUCACGGCUAACUACGUG